rnacentral:sRNA from 1 species
CUUACCGAGGUAGUGCGCUACCGUAAGGAGGCAGCUAACCACGGUAGGGUCAGCGACUGGGGUGAACUCGUUAACAAGGUAGCCGUAGGGGAACCUGCGGCUGGAUCACCUCCUUUCUAAGGAAGCUGUGGAAUUGGUAAGACGAUCGGCCUGAUCUUCGGAUCUCCCCGAUAUGAACCUUCCCGUGCUUUUUAGAACAUAGAUGGCACCAGUCAGGUGACCAUCGAAACGCAAUACGCCACGGAAAUGCUUUUGCAUUCGGAUGGUAUGGCGAGCUGCGCCGUCCACGUUUCUCUUUCUUCAAGAAGACAAAGAACCGCGUCGAUCCAGUUUAGGCUGGACCGGUUUGACGAGAAUUUUGCUUUUGUGAGUGGGGUUGGGAAAGAACGGCAGACGCGGAAAGUUGCCGAACCUGGAGCAAUCCGGGCGAUCGAGCUGAAAUCGAUUGGUGUCGAGACUGACGGCGAUGAUGUCUUCUGAAGAAAAACAAAGUUUGCACGACGCAACAGCGUCUGUGCCUGUUCUGCCUAUAUCGUGAAGAGAAGAUUGAUCCGGAUGAGCAUCUGAUGCUCAUGCCUGAAGGAUCGUUUGUUGUUCGGGGCUUGCCCCGUCUGACAGGCGAUCUGGUUGAUGUUGCCUGACCGCGCGUCAUCGGAUUUAUCUCGAGAAGCUGGUCUUAAGGUAUGGCCCGGAUGUCGCUCGGCGUGACAUCUUUAUGAGGGACCAUACCGAACACGUCGAUGGCAUCAUGAAUGGUCGGUUGUAAAAGGUAACCGUGCCUCUGGUUCGGCAAGCUCAGGUUUGUCCGGAUAGUCGAUUUGGAACCCCUUCGAGCGCAAGCGAGGAGGAUAGGCAUUCCAAAUCCAGUAAAUGAUGAGCAUUGGCAAUGAGAACGAUUAAGUGUAGUAAGGGCAUUUGGUGGAUGCCUUGGCAUGCACAGGCGAUGAAGGACGUGUUACGCUGCGAUAAGCCGUGGGGAGCUGCGAAUGAGCUUUGAUCCAUGGAUCUCCGAAUGGGGCAACCCACCUUAAAUGCUUGGAAAAUCCAAACUGACUGCAAGGUCGGCUUGGGUUUCCAAGCAUUGAGAUAAGGUAUCUUACCUUCGAAUAGAUAGGGGUAAGAAGCGAACGCAGGGAACUGAAACAUCUAAGUACCUGCAGGAAAGGACAUCAACCGAGACUCCGCAAGUAGUGGCGAGCGAACGCGGACCAGGCCAGUGGCAUUGGUGGUUAAAGCGGAACACUCUGGAAAGUGUGGCCGUAAGCGGGUACAGCCCCGUACGC